GGACCAGGGCGUGGGGUGGCGAAAUUGCCGUGCGCCUAGGGCGCUCAAACCCCUAGCGCCGGUCCUGGACAUCACCCUUGUUUUUUACCCCUUUUAGCCUAACCCAGAGAUGCUCAACACUUCCGUCUCCUAUGUCCAUCUCCACCUCAGUCCAAUAAGGACAAAGAAGUUCUGGCAGUUGGAAAAGCCUAUAUAAGGCUGAUGCCUCAUUUCCAUCUUGUCUUCAGUCCUGCUUCUUACCUCGAGAGGAACUUUGCUACAAACUGAAGCUCUACACAAGGGACUAAUGACCCAUCCCAGCGGGGGAUGUACUCCAGAGACUUGAUUUGAACCUGCAGUUUACUCCAUCACUGCUACAAGCCUGAACUAAGAACUUUGCCAUUACUGUAUGUAAUUGAUUCCAUUUAACCAAUUCUAGGCCUCAUCUCUAUCUUUUUUCUUUUAUGAAUAAAUCUUUAGAUUUUAGAUUCUAAA